CCUACGGGAGGCAGCAGUAGGGAAUCUUUCACAAUGGGCGAAAGCCUGAUGGAGCAACGCCGCGUGCAGGAUGAAGGCCUUCGGGUUGUAAACUGCUUUUAUAAGCGAGAAAUAUGAUGGUAACUUAUGAAUAAGGAUCGGCUAACUACGUGCCAGCAGCCGCGGUCAUACGUAGGAUCCGAGCAUUAUCCGGAGUGACUGGGUGUAAAGAGUUGCGUAGGUGGCAUAAUAAGUAGCUAGUGAAAUCUGGUGGCUCAACCAUUCAGACUAUUAGCUAAACUGUUAAGCUCGAGACCGUUAGGGGUAACUGGAAUUUCUAGUGUAGGAGUGAAAUCCGUAGAUAUUAGAAGGAACACCAAUAGCGUAGGCAGGUUACUGGGACGGUUCUGACACUAAGGCACGAAAGCGUAGGGAGCGAACGGGAUUAGAUACCCGAGUAGUC
rnacentral:rRNA from 1 species